UCGCAAAAUGGAAUUUUAAAAAAGCAUGUAGAGGCAUCUACAACCAAAAAUCAUAAUGACGCAGAGGGUUUUGAAGAUUGCCCUGUCCCUGAAGUGACCACAAUUUAUGACCUUGGACAAGGGGUCACGAUUAGAACUGAGGAAGAUAAUUCAGUUUUAAACUUAAAUGCCGUCCAGUUAACCCGCUUUCCUAAGUAUACCUCGUCGACAAAAAAGACUUUCGGUGGUAAGCAGUAUUUCCCAGUCAGUACUAGUGUGACAGGAAGUACAAGUUCGUUCAUGGACACACAUGUAUAGUAACUCAUUUCAUUGCUCAGCAAAACAAAUUAGGACAAAAAUACACUUAACGUGAUGAAGUGAAUCCGAGGUGAGGAGUCUUUUUUAAAUCAUUCUUUAUAAAGAAGCAAAAAUAUAAAACAAUUGUUUUGAUUUUGUUCAAAGAUUCAACUCCUGCAUAAAGAUACUCAUGGGACUGAAUAUCGAAAACACAAGUUGAUAUUAUUUAGUUAUAUUGAUAAAAAGCUUUUAUUAAAUACAGGUUUAUACAAUUUUGAUAUACUUUUGAGUUUAUUUUAUAUGCAAUCUGCUAACCUAUUGCAUUCAAAAAAAAAAAAAAAAUCUAGGU